ACACAGCAGUCACCAAGUAAUUCAAAAGUAUCACAUUUAUUUUAGGAACUGUUUUGUUGAGCGCCAGCUAAGUCUUCCUCAUUCCCUAGAUUAUUGCAAGAUUGAAAGUAUUUUGGACUUUCCGGAGCUGACAGUCGUUAGAUUUGUUGAAAAAAUUAAAAACUUAAUUUAUGUCCUCAUAUUUAUUCUAUUCUACAUUUGCACUUAAAAAAAGUCAAUGGCACAAUUAUAAAAGUUAAAAUAGCUAAGUCCAUGUUAGCAAUAUAUAUUCUAUCAACUACUCGUCCACUACACGGUUCAGGCGUUGGAUUAGGUUAGCUUCAGGCCACAUAAUUUAGAGUUUAGCCUCAAAAUGCGACUUUCUUAUUGGG
rnacentral:lncRNA from 1 species